UGUAUGAAGGCACUUCCACACACCGAUGUGGUCUAGACAGAUCAACAUGACUGAGUAAACUUUCUUUAAUGCAAAUGAUGAACACAUCUAUGGCUAUACAGACAAGACUGAGACCAUAUAAAAUAACGUUUGAGAGGAUUCGUGUUUCACUGAUUCAAAAGAUUUCUGGUGUGAUUAUCAUGAUAAUUAGCCAAGCGGGAGCGCCUCUCCAGUGUGCCUCCACAAGUUUUAGUCCCACAGACAACCACCAUCUUAAAGAUAUGUCAAUUCUGGGUGGGAAGCCAAAUACAAAGACAUGACUUUUCGCAUUUAACCAUCUAAAAAUCACAGAGCCUUGUCUGCAUUUCUGCAGUACGUUCAUGAAUAAUUCCCUGUACUGGCCAACAAACAAUUGUAGGUAGGCUACUAUAAGGAUAGGAUAUGUAGGCAAAACUUACAAGCUUGAAUAUCAAUUGGAAAUAGCCAAAAGCGAGAGCAUGAUGUUCAUGAUGCUGAGUCAGACUUUAAUGAGCACAUUAGAUUAAUAGGUAGCGUUUGAGUAGAAAUAUAAUAUAAUACUUUUACUGGAAUUCAAACAACUCUCUAAACAUAUCAUGUGGAUAUAUAUAGGAAUAUUACAGGGAUAACACAAUACAGGCAUGCAGAUUAAUGACACUGACUCACACACUGAAAGCUCCUGUAAGACUUAGACGUUAGUUUGGAUGAAUGAAUGAUGGUGCCACAUGCACUUCUACAUGCGUCUGUUGGGGGGCGUGAGAGGCGCUGCCAUAGGUCCUUAUUAUAAUUACAUUGGCCGUCUUGCAUAAUAUCAAAAAUCUCAGAGGGUGGGAACAGUGUUACCUCACUGACUCACGAGGGGGUGGCGCUUGGACGACGUAUAUGAUUUUGGACAAAUGAGAUGUUAAACCAUUUGGAGACAACGGUGGUGGAGAUGUAGUCAUCCAGGCGGGAAGCCCCAACUCUCCUGUUUGGUGAGGGGAGGACGGGGGCCGCGGAUGUGGAGGACAGCCGUGUGACGAUAUGCCCGGAAAAAAAACAAGAGGACCCGUUAGAAUAAAACAAUGGACGGGGCCGGCGGGACGUCACGAUGCGCCGUCGCCACAAAGCUCCAUACGCCGCUCAUGAACGCGCUCACUUGGCUCCCAGCAUGCCGCACGUCCGGAGGGACCGCUGCUUACCAGGAGCUCAUCCAAGCCCAGUGCAACCCACCCUGCUGCAUCUGAGGAGGGACAAAACAUAAACACAAAAGCACCAGAAAUGAAGAUGAAGGCUUCCUCCAACUCCCAGGUUUCUGCUCAGUCAGGAGUUGGGAAUCACCAGAUCUUUGCCGACCAUCUCUUUGGAUUGUGACUUUGAGUCCAAUGAUGUCCCAUUCACACAGGACUACAUCGUUGACCGCUAAUAUACUGGAGGAAAUGUAUGGAUUCUGUGAAAGCAGUCGUCUACAACAACAACAACAACAAGGCCUGACAGUGUUAACUCUGCUGUCCACCGUCAGGUCUUAAAAGUGGUAACAGAUACAAGUGUCACGACAGAACAUCUUUAUCUGAAAGACAACAGACUUUGAUGCAAGUGGACAAACUGUUGUGGACUGAAUCUGUGAGAGUAAAGGACGGAAAAGUGGACGGUGUUGUGUUCUUGGGAAUUGCUCUGCAUAGCUGUUCUGGAAACAUCUGCACUAGAAUUUCAUUUAGGUCAGAGCUCAGAUCACACUAUCUCGAUCUCUCUCAAAAAGCACAAAAUUUGAGAUUCAGAGUGGGUUUGUUUUUAAGGAAGGAUAAAGAAAAGGUUAGAUUUUAGAUUUAUAGGGUAGAUGACAAAAAGAUUUGCUGUGAUGUUUUGAAUGUUUUGUACUAUUAUUAUUAGUUUAACUAUCAAUUCUCCUUUAGAUGAGAAUUGUAUCCUAGAUCUUAAAUGCUAGAUUAAAACAUUUUUAAUCUUUGUUUUUAUUUUUUUUCAGUUAGCAAUUGAAUUUGUAUAUUUGUCUGAUGUAAAACUAGAUGUUUCUAUCAACUGUUAAUUUUAUCAAUCCCUCAGAUGACACAUACAGUACAGUACAUUUUUCACAUUUCAUCAUCUCAUUACUGUUUAUUAGAGUGUACAUUUCUAUUUAACGACUUUUGUUCUUACAGAUGAUUUAAAUCAGGUUAAAUCAGUGAUCACAUACAUCACAUUUUCUUAUUUUUUAUUUUGUGUACAACAAGACUGGAGCCUAAUUUCAUUGCAACUUUCUACAAUCUUUAUUAAAUUGUAUUUUCUUAUUUUUAGUGUACAUAUUCACUGCAGGGAAGCAUUUUGUGCAAUCAUAAUUAUCAUAUGUUUACUUUUAUCUAUGCAAAAGAAAUGAGUAGGAGGUUGCAUUUGUUAAGUUUGCACUAUUUGCAUUAGUGUUUGCACAUGAAUUGUGUUUUUAAGUUAAGCACAUUAGCAGCUAAAUGUUCUGUUUCAGUUUGUGUCCACAGAGAAAUGUUGUGAAUUGUGAUGUUUUACUAAUAUGCAGUAUAUGAGCAUAGGUGCAAUGUGUGCGUUAUUCUGUAUGCUGUAGAAACAAUGAAUACAGACCUCGCUAGUAGAAGUUUAGCCUUGUAUCCUUUAAUUCAGUAAUUACACAGUCUCAGAGACUAAAAUCUGGAUGUAUUCCACAUUUAUCAGUCAAAUCAGCUCCUCUUACGAUGUACUACUGAAUGCAGAGGAUUUUGCUAUGAUCUAAUGUUAAUAUGUGCAUUAGAGUUUAUGCAGGUUGAACACUAUUUAGAGAGAAUAAUGCAAUUGAUAUUAUAAUGCACUAUAAAGUACUGUUUCAGGUUUUAUGAGCAUGAUUUGCACAUGACUUUCUGUUAAUGUGCUUGAUGUCUGUACUAUGCAACUGUUUCUACUGCAGUUAAUGUAAUCAAUAAAAGUAUCAAUGUUUACAAUGACAAUAACUGUAUGUGUGGAUUUUUACUAUGUCUACAUUUGUGUGUGAAACAAGUUAUAUUAUCUGUG